rnacentral:lncRNA from 1 species
UAUAUAUAUAUAUAUUUUUGAAAAUGAGGGAUAGAGCCCUUUAAUUUAUUAUACGAUCAUGAAAAAUAUUCAUACAGUCAACAUAUAAGAGGAGCUUAAUACUAGAUGAAGGUAAAUCAAUAAGACUCAUACCAAAAACUCCACCAUGCGCACUAUUUGCAAGAUAAUCAGUUACCAUGUUAGUUUUCCUAUAUAUUUACUCGACCUUAACCUCCCAUUUUCGCCGGAUAAGAGCUCUGCAUUUAUAUAUUUUUACUUAAAAAUUAAAAUUUAAAUAAUUUUUAAAAAUAUUAAAUUUUUAAAUGAAAAUUAUUAAUGAAAAAUAUUUUUUAUAUAAAUAAUUAAUUAAAGUAGGUGAAACUAAACGAGUUGAGUUUUACUCGGAUUAUAAUAAUUAAAUUUGAAAUAGAUUCAAAUAAUUUAUAUUAAUUUUUAAUUAAAUUUAAAAUAGAUUCGAAUAUUGUUAAUAUGAAUCGAGUUCGAAUUUAAGUUUAAAUAUUUUAAUCCAGUUCAAAUUUAAGUCGAAAUACUUUAAUUUUCAUGGAUUGAAUAAUUAUAUGCGAACUAUAAAUUUUUUUAUCAUAAAGAUAAAUAAUUAAAAUUAAAGUAAUUAAUUUAAUAUGAAAGUAUAUAUUUUAUAAUUUUUUUAUAUGUUUUAUUUAAAAAUUAAAAUUUAAUUAUUUUUUAGAAAUAUUAAUAUUUUAAAAUAAAAAUUAUUAAUAAAAAAUAAUUUUUAUAUAAAAUAUUAAUUAAAAUAUAUAAAAUUAAUUUUAUUCGAAUAAUAAUAAUUAAAUUUGAAUAGUUUAUAUUAAUUUUGUAUUAAAUUUAAAAUGAAUUUAAAUAUUAUUAAUAUAAAUAAAAUUUAAAUAUUCUAAUUUUUAUAGAUAGUCAAAUAUUGUUAAUACUAAUGGAAUUCAAAUAUUUUAAUUUUUAUGGAUACACUGUCCGAUGAUAUUCCUGACGAUAAUUAUCGCAUUGAAAAAAAGGAAAACAGGUUUUUUAAUGCAAAACUGUUAUUGUUUAUUCUAAAAGAAAUAAAUUUAGUUUUAGAUUUAAUUCAUAUAAAUAGAUUUUUGGAUUACCAAGUAUUUAUUUCACGCCGGUAGAAAUUUCUUUUAUGGCUAUUGAUAUUGGAGGUAAUGUACUAAACUUUAACCGCUUGAGGAACUUGUGUUGAUUUUAAUUUUAGAUUUAAUUUAUCUAAAUAGAUUUUUCAUAUUGUUGGAUAGCAUGAAGUAUUUGAUUUACACUGUGGUAGAAAUUACUGUUAUGGCCAUUGAUAUUGGAGGUAAUGUGGUAAAUUUUAACCAAUUGAAGGACUUGUGUUCCAAGAUUUUGUCCCAAAUUUUGAAAUCUGAUCAUGGAGAGGAGGGGAAACGGGACCGAGGUUUUGAAGUCGUUAGCGCGGUUGAAUAGACUAUUAUAUGCAGAGAGAUAGAGAUUUUCUUACACAUGGUUUAUACAGAAAUUCUAUCCAAAAAUAAAUAGUGAGAUAGAAAUUAGAUUUAAAGAAUUUAUAGAAGAGUUAUUUAAAUUUUAAAUAAUGUCAAAUUUAUUUUUUUUAUAGACAAAUGGAAUGUGUUUGCUUUAUUGAUAUUGAAGCAAAUGGUAAUUAUGGCAAUGAAAAAUAUUUUUUUUUUUUGUUUUGAAGAAGUUGAUUUUUAGUUUUAAAUUUGAUUCAUCUAAAUAGAUUUUCAAAUAGCCUGAAGUCUAUGAUUUAGAUUUUGGUGGAAAUUCUUGAUAUGGCUAUUGAUACAGGAGGUAAUAUGGUAAAUUUUAACCAAUUGACUGACCUGUGUUCCAAGAUUUUGUCCCAAGUCUUGAAAUCUAACGAUGGAGAGGAAGGGAAAACUGCAGCCGAGGUUAGGUUUUGAAGUUGUUAGGGCCGUUGAAUAGAAUAUUAUAUGCAGAGGGAUAAGAUUUUCUUACACAUCUGCAGAAAGUGCACCCAAAAAUCAAUAGAAUUAGAAAUUAAUUUUAAAGCUUUUAUGGAGUUAUUUUAAUUUUAAAUAAGAUCAAAUUUAUCUUCUUUCUAGCAUUAGAGUUAUUUUAAUUUUAAAUAAGAUCAAAUUUAUCAAGUUUAAAGAUUAUUUUUUUUACGAAUAUUAAAGGCUUUUAAGAGAUUACAAUCAUUAAUUUUUUGUGAGUAUUGGAUUUAACUGAAUUAUAAUAGAAUAGAUUUGAGAUCGAUUUAAAUUUAAAAAAUAAUAUUUCUGAUAUAUUUGGAUUGGUUGAAUUUUAUUUUAUUAUAUAAAUAAGUAAUUUUUUUAUGGCCUAUUAUAAUUUAUCAUUAAUUUUUUUAAAUUUAAUUUAAUUAUAUUCGUGAUAAAUUUAAAAAAUAUCUAAUUUUAUUAUUUAAACUUUAUGAUUUUAAUAUAAAUCUGUAUUAAUAUAAAUAUUUGAAUUUUUUUAUUUGGUAGGUGUUUUAAAAAAUAGUCAUAGAUGGAUGGAGAUUAUAAAAUUUUUGUAUCAAAAUUAAUAGAAAAAAUUAAUUUUAUUAUUAAAAUUUAAAUUUUAAAAUAUAAACGUAAAAAGACAUCAAUCUUGAGAAUUUUUCAUUUACUUAUUUAAAUAUUUGCACCAAGGCUUAAUAAUCUCUUAUUUUGAGACUUGAAAAAACAAAAAAUAAAAGCGGGAAGCCCAAAAUUCGAAAGCAUUUCCAGCCAGAAAAGGCGGCACUCUUCUGUGAGACCUCACUUCAAUUCCCACCCUAAACUCCACCACCACCGCCAUCUGCCAUGGAAGACACCAUAACUAGAAUAAUCGCUGACUUGGAAGAGACCCACUGCAACCAAAACCCUCAACCAUUUCUCUCUCGCUCAACUCUCGAAGAUCUCCAAUCCCUCUUAGAUGUCAAUGACCCUCAACUCCUCGACCAGUUCUUCUUUGAUCUCUCCUCUAAAUCCAUAUCUCCUUCCCUUCUUCUUCCACCUCUCACCUCCACCAUGGAUUCUGGCCCCACCCAUCUCUCCCUCAUUUCCUCCAAAGUUUACCUCUCUCUCCUUCUCUCUCCUAAUUCUCCUGUUUUCACUCUCUUCACCCCUAUGUCUUUUCUCACUCUUCUCCGCUCUCUUCGUCGUUACUUCAAGCACCGCCCACCGCCUCCAAUGGGGGAAGGCCAUUCCUCUGCCUCCGGUUGCGGUGGGGCCCUGGUAAAGAAGAGGAAAGGGCGAGCCUCCAAACAAAACGGGAGGAAUAAGGGUGAUAAUAUUGAAGCAAAUAGUAAUUAUGGCCAUGGGGAAAGAGAAAGUGAGUUUUUUGAUGCGAGACUGUUAUUUUUUGUUCUCGAAAAGUUAAUUUUAGUUUUAGAUUUGAUUCAUCUAAAUAGAUUUCCGGAUAGCAUGAAGUCUUUGAUUCACACUGUGGUGGAAAUUCCUGCUAUGGCUAUUGAUAUCGGAGGUAGUGUGCUAAACUUUAACCAAUUGACGGUCUUGUGUUCCAAGAUUUUGUCUCAAUUAUUGAAAUCUGACCAUGGAGAGGAAGGGGAGACUGCGGCCGAGGUUUUGAAGUCGUUAGCGCCCUUGAUUUUGGCUCCCAAGUCGCCAGCUAGGAGCUUUGCUUUGGGUUUUGUGAAGCAUUUAAUGACUGGGAAAGCUAAAAAGAACGAGGGAGUUAAAAGAGCUCUUGUACAUUUGCCACGCUAUCUGGCACAGAAGGCACCGGAGAAAGCGGAGCCUAGAGUGCUGAUUGUGGAGGCGAUAACUGAAAUUGUUAGAGCAAUGGAGUUAACCGAUCAAAUUGAGUUUGCAGAGUAUGCUAUCAAAAUGACACAGGGGAAAGCUAAUCUCAGGCUCAUGGGCGUCGAUUUGACUUUGAAUUUAAUGAUGUUUUUAAAAGACCCAUUUGGUGUGUACUUGGAUUGUGAAGUGAAGGACUUGUGGGGUUUUCAUUGCUUGGAGGCGUUGAUUCAGCGUUGCUCAGACUCAAGUGCUGGCAUUAGAACUCGUGCAUUGUCAAAUUUGGCGCAGUUGGUAGGGUUCUUGUCAAGUGAUGAUAAGAAUUGUGCGGUUUUGAAGGAAAUAAUGGGACUGGGAGAAGGGGGCACUAAAAGAAUGGAAGGUGGGAUAAAUGAUAUGUUGAGGAAAAGAUGUAUGGAUGAGAAGGCAAAUGUUAGGAGGGCUGCACUUGUUUUAGUUACUAAGUUGACAGCUCUUAUGGAUGCCAACUUUGAUGGUGUUGUGCUCAAGAUUAUGGGAAUGGCUUGUUCAGAUCCGCUAGUGAGCAUUCGUAAAGCUGCAAUAUCAGCCCUUUCAGAGGUUAGCUCACUCUGGCUCUUCACUUAAUAUGCCGUGAUGUAUUUAGGCUCUUGAUUACCACUAGGAGAGGCAUUUGAUAAUUGAUAUAUGUUGCUCUAUUGUUUAGUAGUAUCUUCUACAUCAUACGCUACUAAACUCUUUCCUCUGUGUGUGUGUGUGACACUAUAAGCUGAAGGCAUACGUAUUUUAAUUGAGUUGCAGGCAUUGAGAAUAUUUUCAGACGAAAUUGUGACAAUUGAAUGGCUACAUUCUGUUCCACGGUUAAUAACUGAUAAUGAACCUAGUAUUCAAGAAGAAUGUGAGAACUUGUUCCUGGAACUGGUUCUGGAUCGCAUCUCAAGAGCAGGAUCUGUUGAGACACCAGACAGUGAUUCCACUUUCUCUCAUUCAAACAUGAGAGCAAAAGGUUUCCAAAGGGAAAUUGAGACCUUAUUUCCUGAAGGUGUAUUGGUUCUUUUGAAAGAGGUCUGCAAUGGAGAGGUGAUACCUUGGGUGAGGAAAAUCUGCUCAAACCUAGGUAAAAAGAAACGAUUAAAACCCAAAUUAGCUACUGCCCUACAGAAUAUCAUAAAGACUUCCGAGUCUCUUUGGUUGAGUCAUUCCAAACCAAUAGAAAAGUGGACAGCCCCCCCUGGUACUUGGUUUCUUCUAUCAGAGGUGUCAGCCUACCUUUCAAAAGCUGUUGGGUGGGAGUUUCUCUGUCAUCAUUGGCAGCUCCUUGACAAGUUUGGGACAGCAUCUGGUGUAGAAAAUAUGUAUGAACAUGAAGAGGGUUCAGAAUCAAAUUCUGUUGCAUGGGCUGGGGAUCGUGUUUUCCUCCUGCAAACAAUCUCUAAUGUCUCUGUAGAGCUGCCACCUGAAUCAGCUGCGGAUUUGGCUCAUAACUUACUUAAAAGAAUUGAAGAAUUCAACAUGCAUUCGACAGAGGUAAUUAUAGCAUGUUUGUCGGGAUCUUAAAUAGUAGCAACUCUUCUUUUGAUUCCUUCUGCUGAUUGCCUUAUUGGAUAAUACACUUGCUGUUAUUAGAUGGUGUAAUAGCAAUGGACUCUACUAUUUGCUUAAAUUGCAUUUGCCAAGUUUAUUUGAUCUUCAUAGGGCUUCCCGUUCUACUCAUUUUGGUAGUGGUUAAAAUUUUCAAUAGAUUUAGGAAUCCAAAGUGCACAAGUUUCAAACAUUUUUUAUGUUUCAUAAUAUUGUAUUUUUGUUCUUGGAACGUAUGUCAAAUGGGGCUCUAAUGUGAUGCUUCAUAAUCUCGACGGCGCUUUUGCUUUGAUCUAAGGAAACAAUUUUCUUUCUUCCUUUUUACCAACUGAAACAUGUUUGCUUUGAAUUUCAGUCAGAAUAGUUUAGUCACCCAGGAUAAGACUUGGUGAAGUUCUUUCCAGUAAAGGGUGAGCGCAAUAAAUCAGCUUUGGUGAAUUUUUGAUACUAAAUAGUGCCAGUGACAUAAGGAAGUCAGUGCAAGCUAUUGGUUUAUAUCCAUUUCCUUCAUUUGGUGUAUUUGCUGGCAGGUUAGUGCUCAUGUUAAGGCUCUCAGAACAUUAUGCAAAAGGAAGGCUUUGAACCCUGAUGAAGCUGAUGCACUUGUCAUAAAAUGGGUACGUCAAGUUCUCUCUAAGGCUUCUAAAAUCUUAGAGAAGUACAUUUCUGGGGAUUUGGCGGCAAAUAACAGAAAUAGUUUCUUCACACCACCUAGAAGUGAAAGCACAAAAAGCAAGAGAGCAGCUGCUAUGUGUCAAUUGCAGUCAGAAGCGGUAACUGCAGCUUACACUAUUGGAUCUUUGGUUACCGUUUGUCCUUCGGCUGAUGUCAGUUCUAUUGUCCCUAUAUUACACACCAUCAUCACUUCAGGAAAUUCAGAUCCAAAACUGAGUAAAUUACCAGGUUCUACAGUAAAUAUGAAACAGAAAGCCCUCUCUUUGUACAUUCAUGGAUGGUUGACGAUGGGGAAGAUAUGCUUAGCUGAUGGGAAACUUGCCAAGAGUUAUAUUCCUCUGUUUGUGCAGGUCUGCUUCAACAACCAUUUCAUUAGUUUCAUUUGGGAGACUUCUAAGAAACACAAUAAUGUGCUGCUUGAUGUUUAUGAAAGAAUUUCUAUUUGUUGUAUGAUCGCUGAACAUUUUGCAGCUAUUAGAAUAUCAUUUUUUUUUUCAAAUUGAAUUGUUGGCAGCUCUUUUUGCAGAUAGUUUCUAAAUGCCUUUGUGCCUGAUAUUGCAGGAGAUUGACAAGAGUGAUUGUGCAGCUCUUCGCAACAAUCUUAUAGUUACUAUGUCUGAUUUUUGUGUUCGCUAUACUGCUUUAGUUGAUUGGUGAGGCCUGCAUGGAACAGACACUAUUUUGGAUAGACUCUUAAAUCGUUAAAUCAAAAAGUGCUAAUGCUAUGGUUGCCAUUCUACCUAAUCAUUUUUUUAUGUCAACAGUUACAUAUCAAAGAUCACCAAGUGUCUCUGUGAUCCAUGUGAACUUGUGAGGAGGCAGACAUUUAUAUUGCUGUCAAGAUUGUUGCAGGUUGAAGUCUCACUAGUUUUUAUUUUUUAUUACGUUUCCCGUGUCAGUAAUGGUUAUUAAUGAGUGGACUAUUUUUUCACUUAAUUUUAUCCUCACCAUGCAGAGGGACUAUGUGAAGUGGAGAGGAGUUCUCUUCCUCCGAUUCCUUUUAUCUCUUGUUGAUGAGUCAGAAAAGAUAAGACAGCUUGCUGAUUUCCUCUUUGGGAAUAUUCUAAAAGGUAAUAGGUUUUCACAAAUUAGUUUUGCUUGUUAUUGAUAAUGCAAGAUGGUGAAAUAUUUUAAAGUUUUGAUUAAUGUGUAGAAAUUAUGUGCAGUCAAAGCACCGCUUCUGGCUUAUAACAGUUUUGUGGAAGCCAUUUAUGUCCUCAAUGACUGCAACGCCCAUAAUGGACAUAGUGGAUCAAAGAAUUCAAGGACAGAAAACCGUAUUUUUUCCAUAAGGUAGGCCAUUAAUGUUCUGCUAGUGGAUGAAAAAUGUAAAAAAUAUUGAGGUGAAGUUUUAUUUCCAGUGAUUGUCAUUUACAGGGGCAGUGAUGAAAAUUCACGGUCUAAACGAAUGCACAUCUAUGUUUCUUUGCUGAAACAAAUGGCCCCAGAACAUCUCCUGGCAACAUUUGCGAAGUUGUGUGCUGAGAUUCUUGCCUCUGCAUCAGAUGGCAUGCUCAACGUAGAAGAUGUCACAGGACAAUCGGUUCUACAGGUACUGAUCCUUUCACUUCAGGAAAACGUUAAACUGCAAUGUCCUAUUAUUAUGCAUGUCUAUGUGAAAGAGUUUGGUGAUGAUAGAUCAAUGUCUCUCUCUCUCUCACAUCUGUAAUUGUCCUACUAAGCAGGAUGCUUUUCAAAUUCUUGCCUGCAAAGAGAUCCGAAUUCCAUUUGGCCGUGGAUCACAGACUGAUUCAGGAGAGAUUGAGGAAGAAGGUGGAGACGGUGGAGCCUCUUCAGCAGCUGCCAAAGGAAGGGCUAUUACUCAAGCAGUCAGGAAGGGCCUUGUGCAGAACACCAUCCCCAUCUUUAUAGAGCUUAAACGUUUGUUUGAGAGCAAGAACAGUCCCCUCAUAGGUUCCCUUAUGGAAUGUCUUCGGAUUCUUCUCAAGGACUACAAGAAUGAGAUUGAUGAAAUAUUGGUUGCUGAUAAGCAACUUCAGAAAGAGCUUAUUUAUGACAUGCAGAAGUAUGAAUCAACCAAGGCCAAAUUAACUGCUGCAGAGGCUGUUGCAACCAUGCAAAACGCCAGUGGCUUUCUUUCUCCUGGUGUUCCAAAGACUGUAGGCAGAACCAAUGUUAAGGAUAAGGUCACUGAAAAGUUGCAUAAUGAUUCAAGAGUUGCUUCAGCAAUGGCAGAUGCAGCUGCUGCAGCCAGAGCUCGGUCUGUGCUCAGAGAAGUGAAGAAGGGAACACUGACACCACCACUUAGAUCCAUAAGUGUGCCAAAGCUCAAAUCAAACCAAGGUGCAAGUGGUUCCCAAAGUGAUCGACCCAGGGAUGUAUUGGAAUCUCUGAGAAGGAGACAAUCUUUCAAUUCUGAUGAUGAAAACUGAUGUACUUUGAUAUUUAUUUUUAUCAAAGCAACACAUUUUUGACAAAAUUUAUGGCCUUAACCCCUCAAAGAAAAGUUCUAUGUAUGAACAUUAGUUGACUGUAUAAUACCAGUUGUAGAUUAUUAUGUAUGCAAGAAUAAGUAAUGAGUACAACAGUAUUAUUAUUUAUUCUGUUUCAGAAAAAGUGACCUUCAUGCCAAUUUCUUUUACCAUGAAGCUUCAAUUGAAAUUCAAACUAUGAUUAUUUUAAGAAGUAACAGUUUUCCAACUUAUUGUAGUUUUUAAAGAAGAUAUUAAAUAAUAUUUCUUUUGUUUUAUAAUUUUUAUCCAGAUAUAUUAAAAUAUUUUUUUAUAAAAUUUUUAAUUAUAUCCAUUUUAAUAGUAUUAAAUUUUAUUAAAUAUUAAUAAAUGUUUUGAAUUAUUUCUUGAAAAUAAAAUAAAAUUAAAUAGAGUUAUUAUAAUAUAAAAGGAAACAUGGACAAUAAUUUUAAAAUAAUUAAAAAAAUAAAUAAAAAUUAUUUUAAAUUAUAAUAAUUAAAUAAUAUCUAUAACUAAAAUUAUAAAAAUUAAGUAAUUUAAUACAAUUAAUGUAUUAUAAUAUAAAGAUGAGUUAAUGAAAAUAAGUUUAAUUAAACUUUUAUAUUUUUACUUGAUAGCUAAGUAAAUUAAAAUUAUUUUUAGCCAACUAAGUAUCUAAAUUUUAUUUUUAAUGCCAAAUAAAUUUUAAUCUAUUUUUUUUUAAUAAUAAAAUUUAUUUUUAUAAUUUUAAAAAUUAUUUACUAUUCUAUAUUAAUUAGAAUCCUAAAUUUGUGAUAUUUUAAAUUACAAAAGCUAAUAUUUUAUUGGUAAAAAAUAGUAUUAUAUUAAGCAAAGAGUUAUUCAGUCUUAAAGAUAAAAUUUAGAGUUUAUUUAAUAAAAAAAUUGAAUUAUUGAGUAAAAAAAUAAAAAUUUAAUUCAAUUUAUUAAGUAUUUGAAAUGAGAAUGCAUUAGUUAAUUUCAUAAAAAUUUAGGGAGUUAAUAUUAAUUUACCCAAAUCUUUUUUUUUUUUAUAUAAUUUAUGGCGACCGGUUAAACAGACGUGGCAAGUUUCCAUAACCUGACGAACUUGAUAGCUAGAGCCUAAGCAAAUUCAUCGUUGCAUUCUCUCUAUAAAUAGCAAAUCCAGACACAACCGUGUGAUUUGGGUCUUCUUCUUCUCCGAUUCUAAACUCAUCCAGUUUCCUUCAAGUUUUAGAUGUUUCUGUUUUCAGAAUGUUUGAAUCUCUAUCCAUCAGGUAACUCUCUGCUUCCAUUCGUUUCACUUUUCCUUGUAAUUCUCGCCUGAUCUGUUCACUCUUCAUUUGUUAUUGUCCAUUUCAAACUUUAUUUUUUUCUCUCGGAUUAUGAAUUCUCUUAGGAAUUUCAGUUAGAGCAAAAUUUCCCCUUCAAGGCUUCAUAUUUAUUUAUUGAGUAUUGCCCAGAAAAAGUUGGGGAAGAAAAACUAUGGAUGGUAACAAAGAUGAAGCUUUGAGAUGUGUUCGAAUUGCCGAAGAAGCAAUUGCAUCAGGAAAUAAAGACCGAGCAUUGAAAUUUAUUAGAAUUGCUCAACGUCUGAAUCACAAUUUGUCUGUUGAUGAGGUUUUAGCCGCCUGUGAGAAGCUUGAUUCUUCUGGGUCAAAUCUAUCUUCUCUUGAUAGAAAAUCUGUUGUCCAUGAUGAUAAGAAUAGGACUAGACCAGCUAAAAUUGAUGGGGGUUUAAAUGGAGAGCGGAGUUAUACCGAAGAACAUGUGGAAUUGAUUAGGCAGAUUAAGAGGAGUAAGGAUUACUAUGCAAUCCUUGGGGUGGAAAAGACAUGUUCUGUCGAGGAGAUUAGGAAGGCUUAUAGGAAAUUGUCUUUGAAAGUUCACCCAGAUAAGAACAAGGCACCAGGAUCCGAGGAAGCUUUCAAAAAGGUCUGCAAAGCGUUCAAGUGCUUGAGCGAUGAUUCUUCAAGGAGGCAGUAUGAUCAGACUGGUUUGGUUGAUGAAUUUGAGUAUAAUCAGCAGUAUAAUGUUAGGAGGACGAGGAGAAGGAGAACUGUACAUGAGUUUUAUGAUGAUGAUGUUGAUCCCGAUGAAAUAUUUCGGUCAUUUUUUGGUCAUACUGACAUGUUUAGGGCUCAUCAUGUUUAUAGGAGUAGAGGAACCGGUGAUAGACACAGAGAGGAGUUUAAUGGAGGAGGGCCUAAUCUGCUGCUGCUUCUGCAGAUACUGCCUUUCUUGUUGAUUUUUCUGCUUGCUUAUCUGCCCUUUUCAGAGCCAGAUUAUUCAUUGCAUAAGAAUUACUCCUAUCAAAUCCCCAAGACAACUGAGAAACAUGGAGUGGAGUUUUUCGUCAAAUCAGCAGCUUUUGAUGAAAAUUUUCCCGUUGGAAGUCCUGCAAGAGCCAGUAUUGAGGACAAUGUAAUUAAGGAUUAUAGAAACUUGCUUUGGCGUCAUUGUCACAUAGAACUCCAGAGACGUCACUGGAGUAAGAAUAUGCCUACUCCUCAUUGUGAUAAACUACGGAAUCUGGAAUUAGCAUAAAGGUGAGCUGAUUUUACCAUUUACUUGUAACUUGAAAUUAUACUAAUGUGCGUCUAUUUUGUUCCACAUCAAUUCGUAGUAUUAUGCACCUUGUCACCUUUCUUGUCUGUAUUAGAUUAUUGCUAAUGUUUUCUGUGUAUUUUGUGCUUGAUUAAGAGCUUUUAUUUGGGUGUUGUUUUCUGUUCUGAUUUUUAUGCAGAACCAAGCUCUUUGAUUUUUUUUUUUUUUUUUUUGAACUGCGAAGUUUUAUGAAGUUGCUUUUCCCUCUUUAAAGCUUGUCCUAUAAGUUCUAGCUUGAGCAUAUUGUAGGAAGCUAUUUAUGUUGAUAUCUUUCGUAAUUUGAUCUCUAUCUGUUGGUUAGGUGUUUUACUGGAUUACAUGUGAUUUGUUCUAGUUUUAGUUAUCAAAGGCUUCAAAUGAACCGGAGUGAUUGCAACAAUUUGUGGGAUUCUAAGUGGAUGAUAUCAAUAUUUAAUGGCAUGGUGAAGUUUUGGUAUCCGCCUAAGCACUAUGCCAUUUUAAUAUGAGACUAUCAGAAUAUCACUUUAUUUCAGUCAAUUGAUUUCUCCACUCUAGAAACUCUCACUGUUAUUUCAACUUCGUAUUAAUGCUGAAUCUUGUUCUUUCAAUUAAAAUAGUAUUUAUGCCUGAGAAAUACAAAUCAACAUUCUCAUGAAGGUGCUCAUUUCAUCCAUAAUAAGUUGUAUGAUGCCAGCUUAUUGCCUUACAGUGUACAUGUUCUUAAUAACCAAGCCUGUCCAUGGGCAUGUGGAUGAAUGUGCUGGUGGUGGGAGGGUGGGCAUUCAAGUAUGCCAGUGUUCAGGUGGGCAGGCAGGCAUAUAGUCUCCAUUUGAAACUUGAUUGACAACAUCAAAUAUAAGAAUGGUCUGGAAAAUCUUAUAAUUUAGGCAUCAAUCCAUGUGAUGAUCUCAAUUUAGCUCUUAAAUUUUAUCUGCCAAUUCUUGCAACCAACCAACUAUUAAACUCUAGUUUGCAUUUGCAUAUAUAUAAUCAUCUGCUUCAGCUCAAUCAUUUGAUGAAGAAUCCAGAUCAGAUUUAUCGGCUGCAUGAUAUGACAUGGUCAAUCUUUUGUGUUAGUACACUGCAGUCUAUAAGAUUAUGAACCAUUUGUGUUUGAAUGUGCCUUUUGCUGUAUGUUCAUCUGGUCUAUAUGUUUUGAGUAGGGAAUGUGCUGGAGAUGGGAAAGCUUUUACACAGAAGUUCGUUGAUGAGCCUAGUCAGGAGCUCUCGAUUUGUCUACAAACCAGAUGGUUCAAAUGGAGUUCCGUGGAUGUGAUGUGCAUUUGCUGCCUUCAUCAAAGGGGACAUUUGGCCUUGCAGCGUAUGUAAAUGCAAUUCUACUCCAGGCUUGCAGCAAGAAGGGAUUUCAACACCCUCAUCAUGCCACAAGCUUUUUUGACACCAAUAAAUAGGUAGAGUAUGUGAUUUAUGAAUGGCUUGUUUAAGGUGUGCCUUGGAGGGUGAGGAUUUGAUGAAUUUAUUUUUGCAAAAAAAAAAAAUUGAAGUUUUUUCUUGGUUUGAAAGAAUCAAUUCCUUACCAUAGAUCUUCACGUAUCUAGUACGUUUUAACUUUGGUAGAAAGUUUUUGUAGUUAUAAACACCAGAGUCUUAGUUGCAAAGAUCUGUUAAUUAGUUGAGAAGCGUCGCCUUUAUGCGAAAUUCUACUGGUUUUCUGCACCCAUCUUUGAUUGAUUAUUAAUAAUAACUUGAUACACUAUGAAAUAGGCUAUUAGCUCUGUGGCCUUGAUUUUGUAUCCUUUGGGUGGGGUUGCUAUAUAAAAAUUGGGUUGUGUAGAGGAAAGCCACCAGAUUUUGGGUUGCCUAUCUCCACAAAGCAUUGCAAUAUUUCACAAGGAUCAGAAUUGUCAUUUUCCUAAUAGAUUUGUUGUUAUUCAUAUCAUGGUUAUGGAGCUCUUUUGUCUCUUUCGACAGUGACAUUAAAUAAUAAUUAAAUAUAUGAAACAAAAUGACCCAAUUGCAUAAAGCGAUUUUACAUUUUUAAGCUUUGAGGAAUAAUGUAAAUAGCCUUUCCCCUCUCUGCCAAAAAACUGUUUUCGUGGCUGCAAAAAUAUGAAUAUGAUCACUUGUCACAAAUAUAUUAUAGUAAAAUAUAUAUAUAUAUAUAUAAAACUUUGAUGGGUUUUUAGUUUUUAAUUUUUUUACUUUUAUGAGUGAAUGCUAGUCCAGUUAAAUUAUUAAAAAUUGAUUAUAAAAAUCCGUAAUGAGUAUAUGAAGCGUGUUGGUAUUAGAAGUUUAUCUUUUUUGGUAAAAUGCAAUUUGUUAAUCGUUUCCUACCAAUGUAGUUAUCAUUUAUGAAAACAGAAUUGCAUUUGUGAUGAGAAUAGCAAUCGCAUCCCACAAUUUUGUAGUUGCCAACUUUUAAAAAAUAAUUUAUAUGUGAAAAAUACUUUUAAUAAUAAGCAUAUUUAUUUUUUAUUAUUUUACUAUAAUAUUUAAAAAUAAAAGAUACUAAUAAAUUUAAAUAUAUAAAGUUUAGUAAUAUUAAUGUAAUUUUUAAAAUAUAGAAGGAAUUUUCUCAUCAUUUAAAAAAUAAUAAUAAUGUUCUUUCAAACCAAAAAAAUGUUCAGUUAUAAUUUUUUUGAGUUGUUGAAGGUUAAAAUGUUUUUUUUUUUAAAUGUAUGAAAUAACCGAAACCAGAGUUUCAAGUAAGAAAAAAAGUUAAAAAUGUCAUUCAAUAAUAAAAUUAUUCAUAUAAUUAGACGACUUGAGAAUCAACUUUUUCAAAAUGGAACAUUACUUUAAAGUAUGAGUGCACGCCAGUUUCUGGGUCAGCGAGUGAGCAACAGCAACUAGUUGCGUAGUCGCUUUCCAUGUGUUGAAAAACUGUCCGCUUCUGAUCACUUCCUCACUUACACCUGCCCCAAUCAACUCUUUUCUACUCCAUGCAUCACAUAAUACACGCAUGAAUACCCUGCGUAUACGCCCCCACAUGCUCGCAUGCCAGGGUUGAAUAAAAACCACAAUAUGACCUCACAGGAUAAGCCGACACUCCUGCUCCUCUGACUCCGGCGGAGAGAGAUAGCAGCCAUGGACCGACUCUACUCCGCCAGCCAUCGGAUCUGAAGUUUGCACGCAUUCAUUAGAAGACCACAUUGGGCAAAAAUGAUAUCAAUGGCAAUUUUGUCAUUUCAUUAAAAAAAUACAGAUAUUUCAUCUUCAACUUCCCACUUUUCAUGGCAGUUACACUUCUCACAACUUUCAAUUACCAUAACGCCCUCGAACUAAAAUUCUAAAUACAAAAAUACCAUCCCGUUUUUAUGCGAGAAAAAUCUACGUACAUACUGUACCGUAUACAACAAAGGAAAUUUAUUUUUAUAAACAUAAAAAUACUAGGCUAGAUCCAUGCAACUUAAGCGCCGGAAUCAUCAUCGCCGCCGAAGAUGGACAUGCGAUUAUAAAGCAAAAACAAGAUCAGAACCAGAAAAAGAGCAACGCCGAAAGGUGAGCCACUGACUCGGUGAAUGGUGUCAGGUUCGCCGGUAGAGAAGAUAGCGGAGACAAAUGAGCCGCGAUCGGAGGAGAGGAACUGGAUGGUCAGGAGAAGGAUAAUGGGGAGGAGGAGGAGACCUACGGGGCUUAAGAGCUCGGUAAUGGCUUCAGUAAUGGCCUCGCCUUGGUCCCCUAAGAGGAAGGGAGCAAGCACCACCGUGCACACUACUACUGCUAUUAUGAUUCCAUGGGGUGUACCUCCGUGAGCUCUGUCUUGCAUCAUUUUGGGGGAAUUGUGAUUUUUCUAAGUAGCGAAUCGGAAAUGGGGCUGUGAACUGUGAACGCUGAACUGGUCUUAAAGUAGCUGCUGGGACGCGGUAGAGCUGCCUCUUGUUUAUUUAAUUUAUCUUGAAUAAAAUAUAUUUACGCAUUAUUAAGCGUGACCAAACGUUGCCGUUUCAAUUCUUUUAUAUGAAGCAUUGACCACUUGAAUGAUGCUAAAAGAUCAAAUCAACUUAGUGUUUCAUAAUUUUGGUUAUACAUUUCUAAUUUAAUUAUUGACGAUAAAAAUUUAUAUUUAUUAUUUUGAAAGAUAAGAAAUAUAUAAAAUUUCAGAUACAAAUUUUAAAAUAAACUAAAUAUGAUUAUUAUGCAUAAGGGUUACUAUUUCCGUUCUACCAUAAUUGUUGUUUUAAAAAAAAUUAUAUUAUUUGUUAUUUUGAGAAUUACAAACUAACAUUAAUUUUUAUUUUUUUAUAUAUAUUUUUACUAGUUUUUAAGUCAUAUAAUAUUAAUAUGUAAACAAAUUAUUAUCUAUUUUAGAUAAAUUAUUAUAAUUUUUUUUUAUAAAUUAAGGUUAUUAAUUAUUUUAUUGAUUUGGGUGAAUAAUGGGAGUAGUAAUAUUGAAAAAAUUUUAAAUUUAGGUGUCAUAUGAUUAAAAUAUAAUAUUUAACUUGAUUGAUAUUAUAAUGGAUAAAUAAAAUAUGGUGGAUUCCAAUUAACUAAAAAAAAGAGAUUUUGACUUGUUUUCAAAUAAAUAAUUUAUUGAUUUCAAUUUGACCACAAAAAAUUUAUUUAAAUAUAUUAAUUAAAAUUUAAAAAUCUAAUUUAACAUGUUCUAGAGUUAAAAUUUUCAAAAUAUUUUAACAAUUUUUCAAAUGAUUUUUAAUAUUAUAUAAAAUUAUUACUAUUACUAUUUUCAUAGUAAUCCACAAGCAUCAGUGGAGGAAAGGCCAGAAGCUCGACCAUGGGCUCAGCAUUUAUAGGCUCAAGCCUGUCUCACACUGCAACCUGCAGAAACCCAUAGAAUUUCUCGAUGGUUCGUUCAAUAGGCCGAAUUCUUGGCCCAUGAUAUUGAUUUCUGUAAGCCCAAAUAGAAAAGGUUGGAAUUUUUUUUUAAAAUAAAAUUUAUUGGUUGGGAAGGAAUCAACAAGAAACAUUAUCCUAUUCCUGGUUAAAUUAUUAUAUGAUAUUUGCAGCUGGGUGUUAAUCCAACACUCGUGGGGAAGAACUCAUAUGUAGCAAAGCAAUCUUUUCUCCAUUGCUGGAUUGAUGAGAUGGCUGCAUGUGAAUAUGAUCCAAUGCAUAAUACUUGCUCGUGACAGACAAGGUUGCAAUCCAUCCAUCAAUAGUAGGGUCACACCACCAGAUACCCAAUCAUAACCCUUCAAUAAUUUCUUAAAACCCUUUGAUUUAUUAUCAGAAUCACAAACCUAUUGAUGUCAGUCAUAUUAAAAUCGUUUUCAAAUUGCAACAUAUCUAUAUAGAUUCAAGAAAAGGGUUUUCUUGGGAAUGUUGGGACAGUUACAGUAUGAUUUGUAAGUGUCUUAGCACUGUGAGUCUUGUGAAGGGUAUUUGAUUUAUCUCUCCUUUAUGAGUUAACUAUUUGAUGAUAAUUAUAUUAAAAUUGAAUUAAAUAGGUUAUGAGUUCAACUCAUCCAAUUCCGAUGCAUUUGGGUUCUUGGCUCUGCUGCUAGUUUAGGUAGUGUCAUUUUCAUGACAACCUCAAGAUUGCUAGCAUCAUUUGCCAACUUCACACAAAACAAAAAUACUAUUGAACUGGAAAAUUCCUUGCUUUCACUGGUUCAGCUUCAGCAGACCCCCAUGGAUUCAGAACAUAAUCACAGCCUGAAUUUAGUAAUAAAAGCGUUGCACUCAUUUCUACUGGAUAACAGUCAGUUUGAUCACAAUUUUUUCUUUACUUCUCACAAAGAGAUAAAUAAAUUUGCAAUCAAUUCAAUAAGAUUAGCCCUAAUGAGUAAGGAAAAAAUAUUUUAAUAUAUUUUACAAAAAGCCGAAAUACUGAUUAAUAAAUUUUUUAUUACCUUAUCAAUCCGAUAGUAAUUUUCGUAAGAGGUGAGUAAAAGAAAAGGGGAAGAAUUGAAAUAACCACUGAAAGGACAUGGUGGUAAAUUCCAAAGUGUAUUCAUAUGGGGAAGCUUCUGCUGUCAAGUCAGAAUAGUUUCCAUAAUGGGUCUUGGUACAUGUGUGUGUUUAUGUGUGCCAAAGAAUUGCAAAAAUAAAUACAAUUUUCUGUGCUUUUGAUGCUUUACAAUAGUGCUCAUGAUUUUCUGAUCAUUCCACUGUCCUCCCUGACCUGGCUCAUCUGCUUCUGAACCACCUUUGAAAAGGGAAUUUAUUUUAAUUAAUAUUGCCAUUUAGUAUUUUUAUAAUUUGGAUUAGAUUAAUGGGUGCUUUAAAAAACCACAUGAUUCAAUGAUAAUGCAAGUCCAGCUAUAUAUUUUUCUCAUAAUCAUAGUGAAAAGCAGCAAGAACAAGAAUCUUUUAAGUUUUAAUAUACCCAUGAGUUUUAACAAGUGCUUAUGGAGUUGUUUCCACCAUUACAGAGUUUUAAAUUCAUUUUGAUUAGAGAAAUCAAGCAUGAUAAUUAGCAACUAGGCCUUGAUAAAUUCAAUAUAAUCCAAAAUAACAUAUUUGUUAUAAUAAUAGUAUAAUAUAAUUUAAUUAUGAAUUCUAUAGUUUACGAUUCCAACCAUAAAAAAGAUGUAGUUAAAAUUCAAACCGCAUAUUUAACAACAGCAAAAUUUAACACAGAUAAAUCUUAAAAGUAUUUGGUUUUCCUAUUAAGGCAAUAAUUGUGAAGAAUAUUUAGUGUCUCUCUUUCUCCUAAAAGGUAAAGGUUAACUAAAGCAAGAAAAGAGAAAAAGAAAGAAAAGAACUUGGAAGUGAUAUUGAUGAAGGGCAUGUGAAGAUAAAACAGCAAACUUUGUUUUCUUUUUCCUUCUUUCCCUCUCUGAAUGGGAAGCAACGGUCAAUCUUUUGUCCUUUAGCAGGUGCUGAGAAAUUGAGGGACCAAGGAUGUUUGGAAUUUGGCUACUACAGUCACGAGAAAUUUUUCUAAACCUUCAAUUUUCUGCCAACAACUUAUAUAUCUCUUUCUUCUCUCUCUCUCUCUUAUCCUCCAUGGUUUGUUUCUCUUUUUCUUCAAGAAAAAUUGUACAGGUCUAAAAGCUCCAUGGCUUCUAGUUCUUCCUUUUCUUGCUCACCUUUAUCUCAUGAUUAUGAGAAACCUGACCUUGAAUCCAUAGAAGCACUUGUACUUGCAAUAAAUGGAUACUUUCUUGAGUUCUUAGCGGAUGCUAGAUUAUGGAAUGCUUUGAAAUCCCAGUGCAUUUCCAAGCUAAAUAUUAGAAAGCAGGAGUUUUUUGAAUUCUCUGAACAUUCAGUCCUCUCAAAUCUUUACUGGGGCAUUCAAAACGUUGAAGCUGCAAUACAGGCAAAUUGCACAGAAGAGAAAACUGCUCGGUUAAUGAACUCAGAAAGAAUGCUUCAGGCCCCAGCAUUGCUCGAUGAACAUGGAGUUACAGCUGGAAUUCAAAACCAUUAUUUGGUUUGCUGUUCAUAUUUUUACCUCUCAGCAGUUAGGAAGCUCCAAAAUGAUGAGUGGCAGGUUGCCCUGCAUUUUCUGCAAGCAAUUUUAGUCUCUCCAAGACUUGUUCGAACCGAACUUGCGCCAGAACUUUGUUCAACUCUAUUUCCUUCAAGCAUUGAUUUGGAAAUGGAGAUCAUGGGCGGGAAGAAUGAUAAAGAAUCUGUCACAAAUUUUCUUAAUGAGGUCAAUAUCAAUGAUGCAAUCAGGAAGAUUACAAGGAGAUAUAAACACUGGCUAAUGUAUUAUCAGAUCAUGUUACAUGGAGCAACUCAGUGGCACUGCAGUAGCAGAAGUACUUCAUCCUAUAAUGGCGAAUUGCAGCGUUUUCGGUAAGUUCUCUCAACUGCCAUCAUAUGUAAUGCACAAAGAACUCCAGUGACUGUAGAUUGAGAUAUGAUCAUAAAGACAUGAUCAUCAUUUGAUUAGUUUGUCUUCAUUUAUUGUUUUUGGUUGUAGAAAUACCAUUCAAUUUCUCUAUUCAUUUAGAAACUAUAACAAUUUUAAUGCCCUUGAAACUUCCAUAAUCGUUGGCUUAUCAUGACAGGCAAGUGACCAAGAACUGUAACUCCUCAAAUUCAAUUGAGGAAGGACACUUCUUGCAAAAAUACAAGGUAAGCCCAAAACUUAUGUAAAAUAUUAUUCAGACUAUGUGCAAAUACAGAUAUUCUCUUAUGUGAAAAUUGGUUAGCUCUGAAUUUUUUUUUAAAUAACAUAUUUAAUGCAGGAUGAGAAAGUGCAUCCACUUGAUCCUCAAGAAUAUACAGCUGAUAAUAAUGACCAACCUAAGACAUGCAUGAAAAUUGAAGAACCUAAUGAUGAUAACAAAUCUAUUCAUUUGGAGCAUGUUGCAAAGUUAAAAAUUGACACUCAAAAGUCCACAAGCAUCAAAUACCUCCAGGAAGUAUUAUUGGAAUCCCAAUCAGAUACACCAACGUCUGCAAAUUCAAGCUGCAGUUAUUACCUGGAAGAAGAUGAUGUGGAGGUAAUGGUUUGAAACAAAACAUAAGCAUUUUUUUUUGGGGGAGAGUUAUAGCUUUUGAAUUGUCACUUACCCUUUUGCCCAUCAGGUAAAUUUCGAUGGAAGUACAAGCUCAAUAAGAACUACAGGUGAAGAUGAUCUGCAGGCAGAAGUUUGUGAACAGUUAUGUUCAGAAUUACAAUUACAGGGCAUUUUUACGUAUUACACAGGAAUAACUAUAGAGAGUUUAAAAUUGAAACUAUGGUUUUAUUUCUGUACAGGACACCACAGGCUUCUUGCUUCACAUUAGACCAAACAUGCACAAUGAUGGUUUUUCCACAUGCUUCUCAACAAAAAGUGCAGGAAGUUGAUCCAGUAAAUAUUAGUAGAUUCUCUUCUGGCAGAUUCCCAAGUUCUACCAGUGAUUUUGAUUCAUCCAUAUUGGAACUUAGAAAUAGAAAGUCAGGCACCCACCGGGAUUCCAAUGUUGAGAACAAUUCAGCUCGGAGGCUAUCAUGGAUACACAAAAACCAAGUGACUGAUCAAGUAGCAACUGCAACACUGCAGAAUAUUAGGCUUGUGCAGAGUGAUGACCACAGCCAAAUUAACUUGAAUGGAUUUUGUCAGCUUUCAGGAAAGGAUUCCAACAAUGAGUUAUUGGCAAUAUUUGAAAAAGCUGUUUCAAGGCUAUGCUUCCCAGAAGGAUUAGCUAAAUGUGAAGAAGAAUAUGCUAUAGAAGUUACAGCAAUUUAUGAAAUGUUAGAUAGCAAAAAAGGAAUGAAAUAUACAAUUUUAAAGGAUGUUAUACUGGAUCAGCUGCUAACUGCUAUAUCAACUUCUAAAGAGGAAAAUGUCAUUAGGGCAUCAAUAUCUAUUCUUACAACUAUUGCAUCACUAAACAAGUCAGCUAUAGAAGAUAUCAAGAAGAAGGGUUUGAGGCUAUGUGAUUUGGCAACAGCUCUAAAGCAAAAUGUGCAUGAGGCAGCUAUUCUUAUCUACCUGAUAAAUCCACCACCAUUAGAAAUAAAGACAUUAGAACUUCUGCCAGAAUUAAUGGAGAUUGUGCGCAUUUCAAAUAGCUACAAAGUAAAACCAGCUUCGGAACUGUUGACACCUCCUGCAGCAUCAUUGAUGAUUAUUGAAAUACUAGUAACUGCAUUUGACUGUGCUACUAAUAACAUGCACUUGGCCGCAAUCAACUCUCCCCGAAUUCUUAGUAGGAUCCUAGAUGUUGCUAGAGAGAAUAAUUUGGAAGAGUGCAUCUCUAUGGCCAACAUUUUGAUAAAAUGCAUGCAGUUUGAUGGACAAUGCAGAAAACACAUAUCAAAACUUACUCCUGUGGCUCCAUUUAAGCGUCUCUUACAAAGUAAUGCAAAGCGUGCCAAGUUCACAGCUCUUCAGUUUUUCCAUGAAAUCCUUUGUAUGCCAAGGUAUGAUUAACCGCAAUUUGGUUCUCAAAAUUUUCCAAUCAGUAUAUGCAUUAUAAUGUGAACUAGGAUUUUGUCACCUGCAUUUCUCCAGUAGUACAGUACAAAAAAAAAGGCACAGCACAUGGUCAUUACAUAGAGCAAGGCAUCUCAUUUAUCUCCAAGCAGAAUAGAAGGAAAAAUUAAUAAUAAAUCAGAACUGGCCUUCAACAUCAUUUUUUUCCCACAUUUUUGUCAGGUCAUCAGCCAUUAGCCUGUUGCAGCUGAUACGUAAAGAAGGAAGUGAUGAGAUUAUGAACUUGUUGUUGCAGUGUGUCCAACAACUUCAACCUAAUUACCAACUUCUGGCUGCAAAUUUGUUACUGCAACUAGAUGUUCUGGUUAGUACUGCGACUUGGGAGCUAAAAUCUCACAUGAUACUUUAUUUAUCGAUCUCACAUGCUUUAUCCCUCAAAAAGUUUGGUUCUUUAUAUAUUGAAUUAGUUAAUUAUAACCGUAUUUCAAUUACCACAUGGUAUGAUUGAACUGGUUAGAUAUUGAACAUAUGCAGGAACAUUCAUCUGGUAGAAAUAUGUUCAUGGAAGAGGCCAUGCAAAUCAUCCUCAAGUCAGUAGAAUCCGAAGAAAACUCUACUUUGCAGCAACUAUCUACUUUCAUUCUGGCAAACGUUGGAGGAACUUAUACUUGGGCAGGGGAACCAUACACUGUGGCGUUGCUGGUGAAAAAGGCAGGUGUGACUUCCUUGCAUCAUCGGAAUAUGAUGAAAAAUUUUGACUGGUCAGACCAAAGCCUGCAGGUAAGUUGUAAGAAACAAAUGAACAAAUGAAUCCAAUCAAUGUGUUUCUCCCAAGAGUAAUAGAGAGGUUCAUGAAAUGCAGGAUGCAGGAAUUGACUCAUGGUGUAGCAAGAUUGCAAAGGGCAUCUUUGGUAUUGGGAAACCUGUCUUCCUUGCUUUAGAUAAAGGGAUAAGAAGUAAGAUCAAGAGGGUCUCUCGGAAUUCUCUUACUGCCAUUACAUGGAUUGGAUGUGAAAUUUCCAAGUAUCCAAACAGCCUAAGAAAUUCUGCAUGUGAAAUACUGCUUAAUGGGAUAGAGCAAUUUCUCCACCCAGGAGCAGCACUUGAAGAAAGACUUCUAGCCUGCCUGUGCAUUUAUAACUACACUUCAGGCAAAGGUAAUCCCCUUACUGAAUAACAACUGUCAGCUACCUUACAGAGAAUCACGCCAAUAAAAGAUAGAUUGUCAGUGGAAAAUACCCAAGAACACAAACAUAAACAUAUUCCCUCUGUUCCAAAGAAUUCGAUUCAAUUGAUUUCUUUUCUAGCAAUUUUUUUAUUUGGAACGAAAGAAUUCAAUUGUGCUUCCAUUAAGAUGCAUGUUCUUUGUGUAGGGAUGCAGAGACUAAUCCAUUUCUCAGAAGGAGUAAGGGAGUCCCUACGACGUUUUUCAAGUGUAACAUGGAUGGCUGAGGAACUACAUAGAGUAGCAGACUUUUAUUUGCCCAACAAAUCUGUUAGUAUUCUGAAAAAUUAAUGUUUUCCACAGAACCCAAUUAUGUCAUAUGCUUAUGUUGUCUAAUACAACUUCUUAUAAUGGCAAGAACAGCGUAUAUCUUGUGUACAUACACAAAUUUUAGAGGCAAAGCACAACACCAGUGGAUCAGUAACUGCUCUUAUCUACUACAGGGGACUGCUUUACAGUGGCUAUUCUGAUGGUUCUAUUAAGGUAUGUGCUACUGUUAUAUUUUGAAGUUGGAUUCAUGCUUCUUGCAAAGAUUAAAAAAAAAAAAACAAAGAAGAACUAACUUGUGUGCUAAUGAAUUAAAACAGGUGUGGGACAUCAAGCAGCAGUCAGCCACUCUAGUAUGGGACCUGAAAGAGCACAAAAAGGCAGUGACAUGUUUUUCACUCUUUGAACCUGGGGAAAGCCUUCUAAGUGGAUCUUCUGAUAAGACAAUAAGGGUAUUUGCAAAACAUAUAUGGCAUUCAACUAUUGAUCUACCUAGCAGGAAAUGUAAAUCAUCCAUUUUCUAAACCAUGCCUUAAUCCUGCAGGUUUGGCAAAUGGUAAAUGGAAAAUUGGAAUGCAUUGAAGUUAUAGGAGUUAAAGAAUCAAUUCAAAAGAUGGAAACAUAUGGCCAAAUGAUUUUUGUUAUCACCCAAAGCCAUGGGAUGAAGGUAGUUUCAUUGAUUUUUUGACACAUACAAAUAUGUUAGUUUGCUGAUUUGUGCAUAGACAAAAUACAUCUACAAUGCCCUUGAUUUAACUGUAGGAUUUGUUAUUUUUCAGGUUUUUGAUUCAUCCAGAAUAGUAAGAGAGAUAGGCAAGAAAAAGAAGGUGAAAUGCAUGAGUGCAAUCCAGGGAAAGCUUUACGUAGGCUGCAUGGAUUCAAGCAUACAGGUUGGUUGGAUCUCGUACAAACUGGAAACAAAAGCGUGGUGAUUACAGAAAAUUAAUGGAUAAAUGGAAAAAGUGAAUGAAUUAUAUGUAAAUUAUGCAAGAGAUUUGAAAAUUUUACAUCUCAGUGUGACACUUUUCAUUGCAGUACAUUGUAAAUGACACAUUUCUUUUUCAGGAAUUAACCAUUGCAAACAAUAGGGAGAGAGAGAUCAAGCCACCAAUACAGAGUUGGAUGAUGCAAAACAAACCCAUCAAUUCUAUUGCUCUGCACAAAGAUUGGCUUUACAGUGCAAGUUCAAUCGUGGAGGGUUCAAAAGUUAAGGUAAGAACUAAAGAACCUUAAAUGUGAAUCUAAUACAAUACAAGCAAAAGCCUCCGGUGAUUGGAAGAACGUUGCAGGAAUGGAGAACACAUUGCAAGCCGCAAAUGUCAAUAGUAACAGGGAAAGGCAGAAAUAUAUUAGCAAUGGAAGUAGUAGAAGACUUUCUAUACUUGAAUUGCAGCUCAUCAACUAGCACUCUUCAGGUAUUGAGUUUUCCCUCUUUCUCUCAUGAAAAAACUAGGGGCGCAAAAUGAACCAACUUAUUCGAGGUUUGACCCCACAAAGUUGGACAUCUAAACAAGUCAAGCUAAAGUUUAGAUUUUAGGCUUGUUUAGUACACAAUCCAAACUUAAAUUCUACUGCAUUCGGCUUGUUAAGCCUGUCUUAUUUUUUUUUUAAGUUCAUAAAUAUUCAAGAACUUAGUUUUUAUAAAUUUACGGGUUAACCAUAUAUAUAUAUACUUAUUUAAUUAAUUUAAUUUUAAAUUUAUUAAUUUUAAAUUAAAAUUUAUUAUAGUUAUAAAUAAAUUAAAGUAUUUGAUAUUAAAUUCGAUAAAAAUUCGAUUAAUUUUUAAUACAUUUACUAAACGAACUAAAUUUAAACGUGUUAAUAUUCAAUUUGAAUUUUUUAAAAAAAUUUUAUCAAAUCAAACUUUUAACUUCUCAAACUUCAGUUCAUUUACACCCAAGAAAAACUAUAGCCGGUCAAAUCUUGCCCUAAGCAGCUAUCUUGGGUUGCAACAAAUGCCAAGUAAUUUUCAAAUUUUCACUAUGAACAUUACCCGUGAAAUCAGAUAUGGCUGAGAGGGACACAGCAGAAUGUGGGAAGGAUAUCCGCAGGCAGCAGAAUUACAAGCCUCCUCACUGCCAACGACAUUGUUAUCUGUGGUACAGAGAAAGGAUUAAUCAAGGUUUGUUCAUAAUUUAAAAUUACCAUGUAAUAAGCUGCUUCUGCUUUUGUUCAUUCAUUUCAAUGGCUGUUAUUCUUUGUUUCAGGGAUGGAUACCACUGUAAAGGCAGAAGUUUCAUGUGAAGUGGGCUUGAAUUUCCAGUAAUGGUGUUUGGUGUGAGAUUUAAAUUUCAUGUAAAUAUAUAGCCAAUAUCAUAUGUUUUUGCAAAAAUAUAGUUUUGUUAUUUGUAUAUUAUAGUUCAAUAACAAACCUGGUGGUUAAUAAAUUUAUAGUCCUCCCAGCUUUUUUUUCCUUUAAUUGAUCAAUAUUUUCAGAUUAAUUUAUGAGUAUUAUUGCUAAAUUUACUCUUCAAAUAAUUUAAGGGCAUUUUUUUAUAUUCCAUGAUUCACUCAAUAUUUUUAAGAAUAAUUCGAACAUAUUUUGCAAUAAUAUUAAAUUUUAUUUAAUAAGGGAAUGAUUGCUUUCAUACUUAUCAACUGAAACAAGUUAACCCAUUAAUUUUAAUUUUAAUUAAAUAUAAUUUUUUAUAUUAUUCCAUAUUUUCUAUCUUUUUAUAUUUUGUGGAGAAGAAGGAUGAACAAAAAAUAUUUAUUAAUGAAUAAUGAUAUAAUCAUCCAUUUUUAAUAUUUACUUACUGAUUGGUUAUACUAAGUAAGAAUGUUGCAAAACAUUAACUGUUUAUCCUUUUUUUUCUCCAAUAACCUUUUUUUAACAAACAUAAAAUUAAACCCAUUUGUUAAACAGGGAAAAAAAAUAUAUCCUAAGUGAUUAUUUACAAAAUGAUAAUAAUCAUUAAUUAAAUCAUCUGGAUGAUUAAUUUAUAAUAAAAAAUAACACAAUAUUACUGUUAAUCAAUCAACAUAAGUAAAAACAAUAUAAAUUAAAUAAAUAUACAAACAUUUAUGAUUAUUUUAAUAUUUUUAUUUUAUUUUAUUUUCGGUUAUCAAAAUUUGCUUUUACUAUUAAAAGUAAUAGUAAUAAUAAUAACAAUGAAUAAAUAAAUCCUGAAAGAACUCGUAAUUCGGGCGGGUUACUAGCCAAUGGGGGCCAACACUAACACUAAAACGGGCAUUGAAUCGGACCCGGGUUCCCUCUAAUUUCUAAAUCCCUCUUCAUUUUAUCAAUCCUUCUCUCUCAAAAACCCUAGCGUUCCCUGGUGGUAGCUACUUACAGAGGCCAUUGAAGGACGAAAUGCCAGGGCCUACCCUGGAGAUGGAGCCAGUGGAGCCACAGUCCGUGAAGAAGCUGAGUUUUAAAUCCCUAAAGCGCGCUCUCGAUCUCUUCUCUCCAAUCCACGGCCAGCUAGCUCCUCCUGAUCCCGAAAGGUCGCUGUCGAAUCCUAAAUUUUCCUGAUUCUUUUUCAAUUAGAUCUCAUCUGAGAAAUAAUUGGCGUUCUUAUUGUCUUGAUGCAGUAAAAAAAUUCGCUUGAGCCAUAAGGUUAGUGAACUAUUUUUUAUUUACUUGAAUUGCGCUUUGGAUUGGAUGUUAGUAUUGUUUGGGCAAGAAGCUGUUGUGUGAAGGGCUUGUAAGUCGAAUUCUAAUUCAUUGUUUAGAUAAAUGCCGAGUACAAAGGAAUUAAAAGCUCAAAUGAACUUCCCAAACCAGUGAGUUCUACUACAACCGUUCGUGGCGAUCAAUCUUCAACGCCUUCUAAUGCUCUCGCUCUUCCAGGUAAGUUGUUUGUUUGGCGUUGGGUGAGUUGGUUGCUUUUCUUAUACAUUCUGAUGUAUUAUGAGGUUGUCCAUGGAUUGAGGACUUACCAUGGUUGUGCUUAGCUUGAAAUAAGAACGUAAACAAGUAGCUCAUAUAAUGGGACACAUGGCUCAUGAACCUAAAGGUCUUGGUGUCAAUUCAAAGCUUACUUGAUAUGUAUUUCUAUGUGCAAUCAUGUAUCUGAGGCUUAAUAAAGUCAUAAAUAUUCUUCAUCAUCCAUAAAGAAGGGUUGAUCGGGUGAGAUGGGAUGAGAAUACAGUUUAUUAUCUUUAUGCAUGCCAAAAACUGUUCUGGGCAACCGUUUCUUUCCUCUUUAAGAAAGUCCCUGGGCCUGUAUCCACUAUCUUUGUUGAUGUGACCAAGAAGAUGCUAUGUUGAAGCAAGCAAAGAACUAAAGUAGAUUUUCUUUUUUUCCGAGCAACAUUGUUACAGAGGUAAUGAUUUUCUCUGCCAAUUAAUCGAGAAAAGGUGCCAAAAUUUUGAGGGAAUGUCUCAAUAAUAUUGUUGACUUCGAUAACAUAUUUUGAGCAAUUAGCCUUGAUAUUUGCAUAAACCUUGUCAUUGUUGUUCAGGUCCAGAUGAUUCUAAGGACUCUCAGAAGGGUGGAGCUCAAAAUGCAUUGGUUGUUGGUCCAUCUCUGCAACCAAAGGGACCGUGAGUGCUCUUCCUCCUUCGCACCUUAUCUUCCUUUUUUCUUAGGAAGAUCAUGUUUCUUCUAUUAUAUUUCUCAUAUCUUCCACUGCCUACAUUUUUUUCCUUUUUUAAUAUAUUUUUUUUCAUUUUUCAGAAACGACCUUGGUGCUCAGGGCAAAAGCACUGCAUUGAUUUCUGCUCUUGGAUCAUCUGAAAGGUUUCAGUUUUUCCUCCAUGUUGUGGUUGUUUUUGUUACUUGACUGGUUAGGUUUUUCUUCAUUGCUUGAGUUUCAGAAUUCAUUUUUUUCUGUUACUAUGUAGUGAAAAUUUAAUAGGAUAUGUCUUUUUCUUUUUUAUAAUAUAUAGCAUGAUGAAAGAAAAAAGAAAUUGAAAUAAUUGUAGAGGGUAAUGUUUAAAUGUACUUGAGGAGCACAAGUUGAUAUUAUGAGGUAUUCCCUUAUUUUGGUUGUCUAAUAUGCAUUAUAUUCUUCAUUGGUGUUUGCUAAAUAAUGUAGCUUGUUUUCAUCUUAACAUAUAUUCUCUCCAUCUUCUAGGUUCUCUACAUCUGCUAUAAUGGAAAGGAUCCCAAGCAAAUGGCCACGUCCUGUGUGGCAUCCUCCAUGGAAGAACUACAGGGUAAAGUUUUGUUAUCAUUGAGUGGGUGGAUGUCAAUGCAGUUGUAUCAAAUUUUUUAUUGCUUGCAAAUUCCAGAACUAAUAAUUACAUGUCAGAAGAAAUUGAAAUUACAAAAUUAAUCAAAUUUAGCUGGUCAUAAGUGCCCUUAGUUAUGAUCAUCAGACUUUUGGCUUCCCUGAUAAUCUUAGAACUUGAAUCUGUAUUAUUGGUUAAUCCCUUCUCUGAAUGUCUCUAUUUAUAGCCUCUAUAGCUUCUUCGUUUGGUUGAUCUAGUUGUCAUUAUGUUAGUGAUACUUAAUGGUAAAUACUGGGGCAUAUUAUAUAAAAUUUUCUUCGUAUCAUGGUUUUUUUGCUGCAAUUUCUUACAGUUUAGAUUUGGUUUGGACAUUCAUUGAAUCGAUUGUGUAGGUCAUAAGUGGCCAUUUGGGAUGGGUGAGAUCUAUUGCAUUUGAUCCAAGUAAUUCAUGGUUUUGUACUGGUUCUGCAGAUCGUACAAUUAAGGUAUUAAAUUCUGAACUCUUUUGCCUAUUGCUUUAUCUGAAUAUGUUAUUACAGAAAUUGGAGAUGCACAAAUUUCAAAAACUAAUAUGAUUUCCUACUUUGUCAACCUAUGCCUGAUUUAGAUUAUAAUGUGUUCGAGUUACCCAUUUGGAGGAUCAUUUUUCUGACAGAUUCUCUUCUCUUCCUGAAUUUCGGUUGUUCAGAUAUGGGAUGUAGCAAGUGGAAGGUUGAAGCUCACAUUGACUGGACACAUUGAACAAAUCCGAGGUCAGUUGAGAUGAUUGUUGGUGGCAUUCUGUUGAUUAGUUGUGAGGUUAAGAUUUUAAUAUGCAAAAGUAUUUUUCCCUUGAAGGUCUUGCUGUCAGCCAAAGACAUACCUAUAUGUUUUCUGCUGGUGAUGACAAACAGGUGAAAUGCUGGGACCUUGAACAGAACAAGGUGAGAACUUCAAUUUAAUUCAACUAUUUAAACCUGCUUUAUUGAAAAAAAUAAUGUUACAAGGCAGUCAUGAUUAAAUUGGCUGAUUGUUUAAAUGGAUGUUUGGCUGUUUAGGUUGUCCGGUCUUAUCAUGGUCAUUUAAGUGGUGUCUAUUGCUUGGCUCUUCAUCCCACAAUUGACCUUUUACUAACUGGGGGGCGUGAUUCUGUUUGCCGGGUAUGGUUUUCCCCUCAAUUAUAGAUCACUUCAGGGGUGGAUGCUCUAUAUUUGUUUAUCCACUAAGAAAUUCUUUCUCUUUUUUUUUUUUUUUUUUUUUUUUCUGUAUUUGAGAGGAUUAGAAAGAUAAUUUGUGGGAGAAAUUUUCAGGUCUGGGAUGUUCGUACAAAAGUUCAAGUUUUUGCACUGUCUGGACAUGAUAAUACAGUGUGCUCAGUUUUUACUCGACCGACGGUGGGCAAGUCUUAUUAUUAUUAUUAUUAUUGUUUUUCCCCUUUGUUUUACUGCUUUCCUGCUUCAGUAUUUGUUUUUCUAACUCUGGAUGUGUUGAUGUCAUAUUGCUAGUAAUAUGUACUAUUUGAAGCUUAAGUUCUUAUGUUUGUUGCUCACAUGAAAACGUUUGAUGGUUAAUUAUGCUUAUGUCUAUUCUAGGAUCCACAAGUAGUCACUGGUUCCCAUGACACAACAAUUAAAUUCUGGGAUCUUAGAUAUGGUAAUUUCUGUUUCUUAUGAGAUUUCUCUCUCUCUCUCUCUCUCUCUCUCUCUUUUCUCCUCAUUGAUGCUGUAGUUUUUGUCUUUUACAUAUCUAUUGUUUUUGUCCUAUAGGCAAGACUAUGUUAACGCUCACGCACCACAAGAAAUCUGUUCGAGCCAUGGCACAGCAUCCUACUGAGUAGGUGCCUUUAUAUGUCAUCUGAUGCUUUCUGUAAAUCACAAGGCUAUUUGAUUAUGUUGUGGUUUGUGCCAUCAUUGUUAUUCAUAUUCUUUCAUUUUAUUUUGUUCAGGAAUUGCUUUGCCUCUGCAUCAGCUGACAACAUAAAGAAAUUCAGCCUUCCAAAGGGAGAAUUCUUGCACAACAUGCUGUAAGUUUUUAGCUAUAGUAUAUUAUACCGGUCAAUGUAGCCAAUCCCAAUGAGUAUGAGAUUAAUGCUUAGUUUAGUACUCGUACGCACCCAUGUAUAUGUUUUGUGUGUGUGUUUUGAUGACUCAAGAUUGUUAUUAAUGACUCUUUGUGCUUAGUAAGAUCAAUUCCUUAGAUAAAAAAGAGACGGUUGCAAGGAAUCUUCUUAAUAUUUAUCAUUGAUUGCUUUCUUUAUUCUGAUGAGUUAGAAAUUGGUGUGGCGUAUUUAAUUGCACUUGUAUGUCUAUACUCUUUAUCUCGUUAUGUUGAUAUCAUUCUUCAUGGGUGGUAAGGUGGAAUGCCUGUUAAUCUAAUUUAGACAGUGUUAUUUUGUUCAUGAUAUCCACCAGUGGAACCCACAUCUUUCCAGCAAACAAGGAUGAUGAAAUGGUGUUUCAAUAAUGAUGUUCUGAGUGCUUGAUUUGUUGUCAGUUUUGUUAAAAUAUGCAGAAAAGGUAGGUGCAAAAUCUUGCUUGUCCAAUGAAGUGAAUCUGGUAACAUCUGAAAUGAAAAGAGUGAAAAGAGCUCUUUUAUAGAGACAGAGAGAGUGUUGGGAGGGGGGGGAGGGGGAGUUGGAUGUACAUAAUAUCAGAAGGGCAUUGUAUGCUUCCCCUCAGAUAUUUUGACAGUCUACAAAUGCAAAGUGCUAUGACUUCUUUUGUGCCUCUUUGCAUCAACUUUCAAAAUUGUACUGUCAUGUUGUAGUUGUUAAUUUUAACAAACCUGACAUUUUAACUUUUUGUUUGAUCAGCUCUCAGCAGAAAACCAUCAUCAAUGCAAUGGCUAUCAAUGAGGAUGGUGUAAUGGUUACAGGAGGUGAUAAUCCGUAUAUAAAUUAAUAAUAGUCAGUCCAGUAUGAAUUGUCAUCUGUGUUCUACUUGGUGUCAUACGUCCAGAUAUGGUAAUUCGCAUUUCUGGAGGUGACUAUAGAUCACCAAGCUGGGAAUAGUAAGGCCAAUAUCCAGUGUCAGCCCUAGUGGUGUGUAAUCAUUGGCCAUAAAAGCGUCAAUUUGCCCCUCUAUUACUUAUAGGCAUCUGAAUCAAUCAGUUGGGAUAUGCUCAUCUAUACUACAUCAAUUUUUAGGCUGAUCCGAAAAGCUGUCAGGCCUUAGGUUUUGGCUCCUGGCAAUCUGGCUCCCUGAUGACCCUAAACAAACUUACCUAUUCCAUGCCGACAUUUUUGUAGAAAUAUUGAGCUAAAAUUUUUAUUCAAUUUUGUCUGAAUGGAUGGGAGGAGCAAAGUUCCAUUUUGACCGAAAUUUUUUUGUCAUCGUUUGCCGUAAAUGUUGUUGUAGGUGAUAAUGGGAGCAUGUGGUUCUGGGAUUGGAGGAGUGGUCAUAAUUUCCAGCAGGCCCAAACAAUUGUUCAGCCUGGUAUGUCCUUUUCCCUCUCCAUCAUUUCCCUUUUAUCUUAUUAUGGAAUAAAAAGUUUGACGAUGAUAACUAUUUUGGUUCAGGUUCAUUGGAUAGUGAAGCUGGUAUUUAUGCACUGUCAUAUGAUGUAACUGGUUCAAGGCUUGUUUCAUGUGAGGCAGACAAGACUAUUAAAAUGUGGAAAGAAGAUGAAACUGCAACCCCAGAAACUCAUCCCCUCAACUUCAAGCCACCUAAGGAUAUCCGGCGGUUCUAGCAGUCAUGUUCUUUGUCGUUUUUCACUGGUUGGCAAUAUAUCAUCUUGUUGGUCUUGCCAAAACGAACAUGGCUAAACAUAACUUCUUCAACACAGACAGAACGGCCUUGGAUCGAGUUCCGAAACAGCUCAAUCCAAAUACGAAUCACCCUGUGUAACUAGCAUAAUAUCCCAAAUUCUGGAACGAGAUUGUUUAGUUAUUCCCAAGAAUUUAUAUAUUUGUGUGUUCCUUUCUAUAGAACAAGUAAUGGGAUUCUGACCAAAAAAAAAAAAGAAAAAAGUACUGCGAUGAUUCAUAGUUCCUUUCUAUUAUAUUUAUAACUUUGCGGAUACUCCAAGCUGAGUGAUGUCUUCAACAUUCCUGCCCACUAUUUCUCGUGAGAUUUCACAGCUUAUAAAUGAUGUUACUGAAUUAAAGUUCAUUCGUGCAUCUGAUAAGUAGACCUUAUUAUUUCUUUAACCCAUCCCAUCAAAUUGGUUGGUUGGAGGAUUACACUCCAUCCCAAUGCUCCGAAGGAUUCUGCUUUUACCUGUGUUUGUAUCGAGGAGUUCAGGAAAAAUGUCAACCUUUCAAGAUAUUUCAGCGUCCAAAUUUACAUAAACUCUUAACAAAUAAUUUUAUUAAAAAUGGUAAAUGAGGUCUAAUUUGUGCUUCAAGUAGCUUUAAUAGAUAUGAUUAUUCUCUUAAAACGAGCUGUUGUUUAUGUAAGUAUAAUGGGUUUAUAACUUAUAAGUAAAUCUCUUUUUUAACAUUUCAUAACUCUCCUUUUUUACUAAUUUAUAAUUUUUAUAAAAAAAAUUCUGCAAAUAUUUAAUUAAAAAGUGUUGCAAAUAUUGUAUUUAAUUUAUUUAACGGGUUGAAAAAGUUGAACUUUUUUAUUUCAUAAUUAUGUCUAUUUUUAAAAAUUUAAUAAUCUUAUCAAUAAAUUUAUCAAAUGCUAAAACAGGCUUGGAAGUGUUUAAAAAAUAUAUUUUAUAAUAGUGAAAUAUACAUACUUUAACUGUUUUUUUUUUUAUAAAAAAUAGAGUAAAUUGCAAUUUAGUCCAUUUGGUUUAGUGAAAUACAACCUUUCAUCCUUCUGUUUUAAAAAACCUUCAAUUUAAUCUUCACAUUUAAAAAAACUGUAAAAUAGUCCAUACCUUCAAAUUUUCAGUUAACCUUCCAUUUAUUUUAAUAAAAAUGACAAAACUACCAUUUUCUCCUCAUCCUUCUUCUUUUCCCGAUCCUCUUCUUCCUUUUCUCCUCAUCUUCCUCCUCCUCCUCCUCCUUCUCCUUCUCCUUCUUUUCCCGAUCCUUUCUCCUCCUUCUCCUUCCCCUCCUCCUCCCGAUCCUCUUCUUCCUUUUCUCCUCGUCCUCGUCCUCGUCCUCGUCCUCGUCCGCCUGCUUCUUCUUCUUCUUCUUAUUCUUCUCCCGAUCCUUUCUCCUCCUCCUCCUCCUCCUCCUUCUGUGUUGGAAUGGAGUGAAUACUGUUUGGUUGAGUUUUUUUACUUAAAUGGUAGUUUAGUCAUUUUCAUUAAAAUAAACGGAAGGUUAACUGAAAAUUUGACGAUAGGGACUAUUUUGCAGUUUUUUUAAAUAUGAAAAAUUAAAUUGGAGGUUUUUUAAAACAAAGGAACGAGAUGUUAUAUUUCACUAAACCAGAAAGACUAAAUUACAGUUUAUUCUAAAAAAUAACAUUAUAAAAUGACUUAGAUCUUACAAUUUAAAAUUAACAUUUUCAUUUUAAUACUAUAUAAUUGUAUAAUGUAUGUCAAAAUUUUGAAAUUAGUGUAAUACAAUAAUGAUAACCUUAUAAUAGAAUCAUGAUUUCAUAUCAAUCAUAGAAAGUACAUAUAAACGAAUAUAUAUUCUAUAAAUAAAUGACCGCUAAAAACUACUUAGCAGUUUUUUUUGGGGAAAAAAAAACUGAAUUCAUCUGUAUAAUAAUUUUGUAAUGACUGAUAUAUUUAUAUCAAAUCACUUUUUUAUUAUAUAUAUAUUUUACAAUUAUUAGUAGAAAUUUGAUUUGUUUAAAAAAAUCCAAUAUUAUGAACUUUUGGGCCGAACUGUACCGUCUCGGGAGGCCCAAUUCAAAUCGGCGAGGCUGGAGACUUGAAGUUACAGGGGCAAAUCGGCAAUAAAACAUUAAAACCCUAACUGCAAACCCUCGCCUUCUCUUCCAUAUCUGCGGCGCUCCAUAGCCCUGCCGUCUCUAUCCAAUCCAAUCUAGUAAAUGGCUCUCUCUAUCUAUGCUUCUGUAGGUGUACAAGUAUUUAUAUAUAUAUAUUUUUGCUAUAUCUUCGCAUAUGUUCUUUGUGUAUAUAGCAAUCGAAUUGAAGAGAACUGAAGAGAAUGAGUAGAGGUGGAGCAGCUGGGGCCGGUGGAGCCAAGGGGAAGAAGAAGGGAGAAACAUUUACGAUUGAUUGCUCGAAGCCAGUCGAAGAUAAGAUUAUGGACAUUGCCUCUCUCGAAAAGUUCCUCCAGGAACGCAUCAAGGUCGGUGGCAAAGCCGGAGUUCUCGGUGAUUCCGUCACCGUCACCCGUGAGAAGUCCAAGAUCACCGUCACCUCCGACUCCCGCUUCUCCCAACGGUAAAUUACUUGCACAUGCGUGUAUUUCUUAUUGUAGUUACUAGUUAGACAUGGUAAUAAAUAAGCUAUUACACUGGAAUUGGCAGAAUGCUAUAAGAAUUCAUUGAACUAAAUUGCCAUUGAAAAUUGGCUGAAGCAUUUUUAUCUUGUGUAAUGUAGCAAAGCAAAGUUAGGCCUUAUUCAAUUCCAAAAAAGCAGAAUUAUGAAGCAGUAUAUGUCGAUGUUCAUUCUGUUGUAUUCACAUUGAAGAGUUAAAAAUUUUGGUAUUUUUUGAUGAAUUUAUAUCUUUGCUUACAAGGGGGGAGUUGGACUUCUGCUUGCUUAUUGUAGUAACAUAUAUCUUGUUACCCACCUUGCUAUGGUAUCCCAAUGGGUGUAUCAUCUUGGGUUAAUUUAUCAAUUUGCCUUUGCAGGUAUCUGAAAUACUUGACAAAGAAGCACUUGAAGAAGCACAAUGUGCGGGAUUGGCUUCGGGUCAUUGCUUCCAACAAGGAUCCUAAUGUUUACGAGCUAAGAUACUUUAACAUUGCUGAGAAUGAAGGGGAGGAUGAAGGAUAGAAUGUACCUAUUUGACCUUUCCAUUCCCCCAAUCUCCUUUUUGUGUUUUAUUUUGUUCCACACUUCAUCUAGGUUCUUUUUUUUUUUUUAACUUUUUCGAAUAUUUUGAAUUUGAAGAACUUGAAAAUUUUUCAAAGCUAUUUGCCAUGUUGAAGUUUUAUUUUUGCCCAAUUGAAACAAGAAUGCUUGCCUCGUGGUCUCGUCUCUUUCUUUCUUUUUGGCCGAGUAUUGUUGGUAUGUUAUCCAUAAUAGCAUUCAUCACUCUUAAUAUGGAAAGAAACAUUGAUAAGCCAUUAGUUUGUUAAGACUUUGGAACAAUGGUAGAGUACUUGAGCAUUCAAGCACUUUUGAAAUUACAUUGAAGAGAUAGACCCUGUCACACCUUUUCAUUCAUUCAAGCAUUUCAAAAUCUGUAGUGUCAUGUUUGAGUAGAGGCCUCAGCAUACAUGUAUAGCCACGGUGGGAUGGUGUGGCAGUGGUGUCUGCUGGUGCUUGGCAAAUGAAAGAUUGACGCUUUGGGAAAAUUUGGAGAGGGGAAAAGGGUGGAUUUGUUUUGUUUUACUUGGUUUGGGCGUUUAGAUUUUCUCUUUGUAGCCUUCUUGUAUUUGCUCACUGGGACAUGAAUAAUGCAAUCUUUGCGUGGUAGAUGUAUUGAUUGCGCCAAUUCAUAUGGCUGUUUGUCACUGGGGAUAAGGCUGGAAAUGUCAUUUCUGAACAGUGUUUCCGAAUUCGCACAUUAUUUUGUUGGGGAAUAAAAUAAUUUUAAUUUCUUUUUUUUUUUUCGGAUAAAAAUAAUUUUAAUUUCAAUACACAUAUAUUUGAAAAUUACUUGUCUAAUUUUGAUUCCAAUUCAUAAUCGCGAUAAACUGCACUAUGAGAACUUAAUUAAGCUCAUCUAUAGUGAGAUAAGAAUGAGACGACCCCAGUAGGAUUGGUGAACAGUGUUUGGUGGCCCAUAAUGAAAAUGUGAUGACACGUGCGGAAGCAAACCAAUCACACGAUGAUGAAAAGAACACUUGUCAAUUAAACAAAGGGAAGAAAAGGACAGUUAUGGAGUAAAGCAAAGGGAGGAUUAGUAAGUGGGGGUUGGCGUGGCACUAAUAAUAGUAACCCAUCAGUCGUGGCCGCCCAACGAACCUUCUCUUGAACUGAGGUCUUGGGGCUACAAUUUACAUUUUACAAUGCAAAACCAAUGGAGACGUGACGUUCCCUCUAAGCAACCACACACCGCAUCUUCACCUCAAUCAUGUUUUAUCGUUCAUGCACUUUCCCACCCCACACUGUUGUCAAUAUGCAAAUAAUUUUUUGUUACACCGACUUUGUCAUAAAAUUUAUAUCCUUUUCCUUUGAUUUAAAAAAAAAGGCUUCUUUUUAAUAAAUAAUCUUUAAUUAAAUUUUUAAAAAACAUGAUUGUGCAUAUAAAAUCACGCGUUGCAUGAGAAGACUAAGGACAAACCAUCAUGGCCACAAUUCCUCCACCAUUUGCAAACUAAUUUUAGUUAUAAAUGAUUUUUUUUCAAAAAAAAAUAUGCAUAUUAAUUGUGCGGCAAUAUCUGUUUUUUUUCAGAAGUUGCAUGGCAAGAUCUACUAUUGUAUAAUCCGAAUCCUUUAUAAAAAAAAAAAACACCCGGUCUUCAAUUUACUAUUUCAUUUAUUAUUUUUUGUUAUUUUUUAAAAUAUAAAAGUAAAAAAUAUUUAGAUUUAUUUUAUUUAGAGACUUCUAAGUAAAAUUAUAAAUAAAAAUAAUUUUCUGAACCGCAAAUAAUGAAAGGGAUGUGGAAUUUUUAUUAAUAUAUAAAUAAGCAAUUUAAGUAUAAUAAAUAUUAAAAUAAUUUGUAAAAAUGUAAAAUGUCCUAUCUUGGAAUCUCCAUCCAUUUAAAUAAAAUCCAAAGAAUAUCAACCCACUAAAUUAAUUGCACAUACAAUCAAGAAAAAGAGGCAUUUAUUAAUAAAAUUGAAUUUUCAUUUAUAUUAAAAAAAUCUUCUAAAUUAUAAUGUCUGAAUUUCGAAUCUCAUUCAAACGGAUCCCAAAAAUAAAUAAUAAAUAAAUUUAUGUAUAUAAACCCACGUUUACCCUAAUCUUCUCCCUUCGCCAUCACUUCAGCACCAGAGCAACGAGAGCGAGCCGCAAGCUUGGUGCUGCAGAAGAAGUGCUCUUCUUGAGAAUCCAUUUCUCAGAAGAAUAGCUUCCUUCUGCGGAAUAUCACCUUCAUAUAUAUAUAUAUAUCUGAGCAAUAAAAAAUGGCUCGCUCUCCCGCCAACGCUAAGCUUCUCGUCGAUGGUCUUUCCCUUUCUGUCUUCCGGUGAGAAUACAACUCCUCUUGCUCUUCUCUUUUCUGGGUUUUUCAUAUUCUUGAUACAUAUAUCUAGACUGUGUUCUCUUCUAUAAUAAAACGAAGGAAAAUCAAGGUUCUUGCAAUUUUCUGGUCCUUUUAUCCUCGAGAAACUGUGGUUUCUUUGUUGCAUGAUUAAGAAAGAAAAGGGUAGGUGUAUUUUGAAUUGAUUGAUUUCUUCUAUUAAUUUACGUGAUUUGUUGAUAUUAAGUGAAUAUUAAUGUGAACAGGAGGUGCUAUGCGGCUGCGCCACAAGGGGCAGUGCUCGGUAGGGAAGGGUCAAGAAGUGGUACGAUGAGGAAAGUGGAAGAAAGGGGUGCGAUUAAAGAAGAUUCAGGGGCGUCAUCUGCAUGGGCUCCAGAUCCCAUCACAGGGUACUACAGGCCAGCAAAUUGUGGUGCUGAGAUCGACCCAGCUGAGCUUCGAGAAAUGUUAUUGAACCACAGGGUUAGGCCACAGUAGAACGAGAAGAACUGGCGGCUGCCCACAAGGUUAUGGUCUGUGGUGGUGUUCACUCUCGUCCCUUUUGGGCAGCUUAUAACUUAAUAGUUUGUUUUGGCUUUUUUUGUUAUGAUGAUCUUCC